rnacentral:rRNA from 1 species
CCUACGGGAGGCAGCAGUGGGGAAUAUUGGGCAAUGGAGGCAACUCUGACCCAGCAACGCCGCGUGAGCGAUGAAGGUCUUCGGAUUGUAAAGCUCUGUCGCAGGGGACGAAGUAUGACGGUACCCUGUAAGAAAGCCCCGGCAAACUACGUGACAGCAGCCGCGGUAAUACGUAGGGGGCUAGCGUUGUGCGGAAUUACUGGGCGUAAAGGGAGUGUAGACGGCUUGUCAAGUUAAGUGUGAAAGCCUCCGGCUUAACCGCAGAAGUGCACUUAAAACUGACGCGCUAGAGUGCAGGAGAGGGGUGUGGAAUACCUGGUGUAGCGGUGGAAUGCGUAGAUAUGAGGAGGAACACCAGAGGCGAAGGCGGCACACUGGACUGUAACUGACGUUGAGGCGCGAAAGCGUGGGGAGCAAACAGGAUUAGAUACCCGGGUAGUC